CAUAGAGAAGAACACAUACAAGCUCAAAAAAUGCAGAGAUGGCAAAGAACAGAACUGCACAGAGAUGUGGUUGCCACAGAGAGUGAAAUUAUUAGUCUCGAAUAAACCAAAAAUCAGAAAAAUCCAAUAUGAUAAAAUAUA